rnacentral:rRNA from 1 species
CCUACGGGAGGCAGCAGUGGGGGAUAUUGCACAAUGGGGGGAACCCUGAUGCAGCGACGCCGCGUGGGUGAAGAAGCGCCUCGGCGCGUAAAGCCCUGUCAGCAGGGAAGAAAAUGACGGUACCUGAAGAAGAAGCCCCGGCUAACUACGUGCCAGCCGCCGCGGUAAUACGGAGGGGGCAAGCGUUACCCGGAUGUACUGGGGGUAAGGGGGGCGCAGACGGCGAUGCAAGCCAGGAGUGAAAGCCCGGGGCCCAACCCCGGGACUGCUCUUGGAACUGCGUGGCUGGAGUGCAGGAGGGGCAGGCGGAAUUCCUGGUGUAGCGGUGAAAUGCGUAGAUAUCAGGAGGAACACCGGUGGCGAAGGCGGCCUGCUGGACUGCAACUGACGUUGAGGCCCGAAAGCGUGGGGAGCAAACAGGAUUAGAUACCCUUGUAGUC